CCGGAUGCCGAUCUCGAAAACCUGUCCCAGUUCGGACUGGAGUCUGCAACCCGACUCCACGAAGUUGGAUUCGCUAGUAAUCGCGCAUCAGCCAUGGCGCGGUGAAUACGUUCCCGGGCCUUGUACACACCGCCCGUCAAGCCAUGGGAGCCGGGGGUACCUGAAGUGCGUAACCGCGAGGAGCGCCCUAGGGUAAAACUGGUGACUGGGGCUAAGUCGUAACAAGGUAUC
rnacentral:rRNA from 1 species